UAGGGAAUCUUCGGCAAUGGGGGGAACCCUGACCGAGCAACGCCGCGUGAGUGAAGAAGGUUUUCGGAUCGUAAAGCUCUGUUGUUAAGGAAGAACGAGUGUGAGAAUGGAAAGUUCAUACUGUGACGGUACUUAACCAGAAAGGGACGGCUAACUACGUGCCAGCAGCCGCGGUAAUACGUAGGUCCCGAGCGUUGUCCGGAUUUAUUGGGCGUAAAGCGAGCGCAGGCGGUUAGAUAAGUCUGAAGUUAAAGGCAGUGGCUCAACCAUUGUAGGCUUUGGAAACUGAUUAACUUGAGUGCAGAAGGGGAGAGUGGAAUUCCAUGUGUAGCGGUGAAAUGCGUAGAUAUAUGGAGGAACACCGGUGGCGAAAGCGGCUCUCUGGUCUGUAACUGACGCUGAGGCUCGAAAGCGUGGGGAGCGAACAGG
rnacentral:rRNA from 1 species